rnacentral:misc_RNA from 1 species
GAUGAAGAACGUAGCGAAAUGCGAUAAGUAGUGUGAAUUGCAGAAUUCAGUGAAUCAUCGAGUCUUUGAACGCACAUUGCGCCCCCUGGUAUUCCGGGGGGCAUGCCUGUUCGAGCGUCAUUUCACCACUCAAGCCUCGCUUGGUAUUGGGCAACGCGGUCCGCCGCGUGCCUCAAAUCGACCGGCUGGGUCUUCUGUCCCCUAAGCGUUGUGGAAACUUUCGCUAAAGGGUGUUCGGGAGGCUACGCCGUAAAACAACCCCAUUUCUAAGGUUGACCUCGGAUCAGGUAGGGAUACCCGCUGAACUUAAGCAUAUCAAUAAGCGGAGGA